rnacentral:lncRNA from 1 species
UGUGUGUACGCGUGGGCGCUGUGCGGGAAGGCAGCAGGUGAGGAGUGGGUCCCUCCUGGGCAGGAGGAGAGUGUUAUGUGCUGUCAGCCAGGUGAGUCUGUCAUAUUCAUACCCCGGGGCUUGGCUGGCAGCCUGAGCAGCUGGGUGCUGGGAUCAAGCUCCUCUGCCCUUGUGUUAAUCCUGAGCCAUAGAAGUUUCAUCUAGUUCCCUCCCUGGUCAGAUGUCUGUGCAGACGUCCCUCUGUGCCUGAAUUAGGGAACAGAAUUCCUCAUGGGGGUGUCCCCCUGUGGCGAUGUGCAGGCAGGCCCCUGAUGCCUCCUGGCCCAUCUGCCGGGCACUGUCUUUCCAGAACUCCACGCAGGAGAUCUUUGAAGAGCUACAUGAUGGGUUCGACUUCUCUCCCUCCCUAGUCAAGGGGCAGGAGCAGCAGGCCGCCAGCAGCAUCCUGUGCCGGUCUGAGAACUCCACUCAGGAGAUGUUUGAAGAGUUAUGUGUUGGGUUCGACUUCUCUCCCUCCCUAGUCAAGGGGCAGGAGCAGCAGGCCACCAGCAGCAUCCUGUGCCGGUCUGAGGAACCCACCCUGUCCGUGGCUGAGGCCCGCACGAUGCUGACCCUCAAGGCAGGCGCAGUGCAGAAGGUGGUAGGAUGCCUGCAACCAUCUUUCCAUGGCAGAUCCAUCUCCGUCACCACCUUCCCGUGUGUGUACCAGGCCUUCUACCCGACCCCACAGGUCCUGGACCAGCUGCUCCAGAGUGCCCUCUCUCCCAUCUGGGGCCCCCGGCCUCAGGAGAACUCCCAGGAUAUGUGGCAGAUGCUGCGGCACUCCAGGAUCAACCUGACGUUGGCGUAUCUCCAGGACCUCUUGGCCUGGCUCAGUCCUGAAGCACCAGGCCACCCCUCUUCUCCUCCAGGUGGACCUUUUCCAGGCCACUGAGUUGGAGACAGAGGCUCCUGCCCCAGCUCUAGCACUUCUGCCAGGUGCAGAGGCAGAAAAGGGGUCACAUCUGGAGCUGGACGGAACUCCAGUUCUAUUUCUGCCAUCACUUCUAGCGCUGGAGCCGCCAGCAGCGCCCUCAGCUGCUCCAGACCCCGAGCGAGUGCCAUCAGCAGC